rnacentral:rRNA from 1 species
UACGAAGGGGGCUAGCGUUGCUCGGAAUUACUGGGCGUAAAGCGCACGUAGGCGGCUUUCUAAGUCGGGGGUGAAAUCCUGGAGCUCAACUCCAGAACUGCCUUCGAUACUGGAAAGCUCGAGUCCGGGAGAGGUGAGUGGAACUGCGAGUGUAGAGGUGAAAUUCGUAGAUAUUCGCAAGAACACCAGUGGCGAAAGCAGCUCUCUGGGACGGUACUGACGCUGAGACGCGAAAGCGUGGGGAGCGAACAGG